GACGAACCGAGCGAACGUUGUUCGGAAUCACUGGGCUUAAAGGGCGCGUAGGCGGGCUAUCAAGUCCGGGGUGAAAUCCUCCAGCUCAACUGGAGAACGGCCUCGGAUACUGAUGGCCUCGAGGGGGAUAGGGGCACGCGGAACUGUGGGUGGAGCGGUGAAGUGCGUUGAUUUCCAUAGGAACACCGGUGGCGAAGGCGGCGUGCUGGAUCUCUUCUGACGCUGAGGCGCGAAAGCCAGGGGAGCAAACGGG
rnacentral:rRNA from 1 species